UGCCUGGAGGACUAGUGGUUAGGCCUCAGCGCUCUCAAUGCCUUGGCCAGGGCUCAAUUCCCAGCCAGGGAA